AUGAGGAUGUUGAAGGAUCAUCAACACUCUAUCUAUGUCCAGUAUGGCUACCCUCCCGGAGCUCAACACAACAGACUGACAGUAGCGAGCAUCCAGCAGCUCUGGAAUGAGUGGGAGAUCCAGUGCUUGGUGCUUGUGAGCUUCUCCCUGCAAGUCUUCCUCCUCUUCUUCGCGGGGCUCCGGAAGCGCCAUCGCUCUCGCAUUCUCAGCCUGCUGCUGUGGCUUGCCUACCUGUUGGCGGACACCGUCGCGGUCUUCGUUCUCGGCCGCCUCACACGUGUUGGAGGCGACGACUCACUGGUGCUCUUCUGGGCACCGUUCAUGUUGCUCCACCUCGGAGGGCAGGACACCAUCACAGCCUUCUCCAUGGAGGACUGCGCACUGUGGAAGAGGCACCUGCUGAACCUCACCACCCAGGUGGCACUGGCCAUCUACGUCGUGGGCAAGCAAUGGCAAGGGGACAAGCAACUUGUGGCUCCCAUGGUGCUAAUCUUCAUCUCUGGGACAGCCAAAUAUAUGGAGAGAAUAUGGAUACUUGGGAGAGCCGGCUCAUGGGGACCUAUAAGCAGGCCUUGGGGUCCGUUGUGUGGGCAGAAAAGAACCCUGGGGGUCAGGCUUGACACACAUGCUCCUAUCUGGUCAUUGUUCUCUUCUGACAUGGAGGAUGUGGCUCAUGACAUGUUUUAUAAUAGCAUGAACUAUUUCAUGAACAGGACUAGUAAACGGCUUCGCGGGACUGGUUUAGGUCAGGAGGAACGAGAUCGUCUCAAGUCAGACGAGGGAGUUAACUUGGCAUACAAGUUGGCUGAGACCCAACUCUCAUUGAUCUAUGACUUCUUGUACACCAAGUUUGGAAGCCUCGAUGGUGUGUUGCACCGUCUCACCAUCCUUGUCAUAAACUCUACAGCUCUCGCUCUGUUUGCUGUUCAUCAUAAGGGAGGGAGGGGGCGAUCAGAAGCUGUGAAGUACUACUACAGAGUAGCUGAUGUUGCCAUCUCUUACAUAUUGCUUGUGGGUGCAGUGGCGUUUGAGAUAUCCUCUAUAUUGAUGUGGCUCAUGACAUCAUAUUCGCCAUCCAACGUAUGCACAGGACCAAGCGGAGGCCAUAGUCCAAGAAUUGUGCUUAGCAUCCUCAAGCGCCUCCGCCCAGCACCGAAAAGCAACAGAUUGGAGUGGUCAGGUAAGCUGUGGCAGUAUAACUUUAUUGAUGAAAUCAUCCAAAAGGAGAAGGCAACAAGGGAAUAUGGAUGGCUGAAACGGAUGAUGUGGCGUAUCGGCAUCAAGCAAUACCACCACACAACCAAACAUGUUGCCAUCUCCCCAGAGGUAAAGAAGGUGUUCCUUGAUAAGCUGUGUGACAAUCACUGGAAGUUGUACUUCAGCAGCUUCACUGCCGAGUGGGCAGCUUAUAUUCCUUCUUCCUCCUCUGGGUUUGGUGCAGCUAAACAGAAAGUCCGAGGCAUCUUCAAAGAUAGGGAUCUUGUAUCAAGUGCCUUUCUUUGGCACCUUGUGACAGACAUAUGCCUGGUGCGGGACGAGACGCCCUCUAAGCUUAGAACCUGCAGUCAACACGUGUCCAAUUACAUCAUGCACCUGGUCUACAAGUGCAACUUGAUGGUUGAUGCUGACGGGUGUUUAUUUUUCGAAGAAUGUAUAAAGUGGAUUGGCGCGUUUUGCAAAGAUGCCAACUAUGAUAAGAGGGACCUCCUCCAGAGAUUCUAUGCCAACUAUGAUAAGAGGGUCCUCCUCCAGAGAUUCUACGGUAACGAUUUUCACUCUGAAGGUUCAGUUGGCCAUCUAGCUAGUCUAGCUACUGAUGUGGCUUUUCUGCUCAACGGCGAGGUAGCUGCUGCUGAUCGGUGGGAGAUGAUCGCAACGGUAUGGAUGGAAAUGCUCUGCUACAUCGCAGUCAACUGUGAUCAUGGGUUCCAUGCCAAGCAGCUGAGCGCUGGAGGGGAGUUCCUCACUCAUGCCAAGAUGAUCAUGUUUCCCAUACUACAACUGGCUGAUCCCGAUGAGCAGUGA
rnacentral:rRNA from 1 species